UAAUCCAUUGAAGGCAUAUAUAUGUUCUUCAUCACAAUAAAAACACAAAAAGAAAAGUUUAAAAUAACAAAAUACAAACACAAAGCAAGCAAUACGAUCGAUCUUCGCCUUAGUUUUGAUUGACCGAAUCACCGGAUAUCUGAGGGAGAUCGAGGCGAUUAAGAGAAGGAUUCGACACCGAAGCCAAACCGUAAUCAACGUCGAGCGAGAUCUCCUGGCUCUUAAGACGCUCCAAUUCUUCCUCGAGCUCGUAACCACCUUGCCUUACUCGGUCAAAGCUUCGAUCCGAGCUCGCACCUCCUACGGAUGAAUCUCCGCUGCUGUUUCCUUCUUCUUCGCCUGCAGCUAGACCCUCACUACGGCCAAAACCGCAUCGUACUCUCGAGCAAGAGAGCGACGAGCAAGAUGGCACUCCUUGCGAGCAUCUAUGUCACGACUUUCGAGCUCUCGCCUAUGCUUAUAUUGCAUCGAACCGAGGUCAUUCUGAACCGCGACUUUCUCCGCCUCAGCAGCAGCCAACUUCCCUUUCAAUUCCUCAACCUCAA
rnacentral:lncRNA from 1 species